AUGGUGGUCCCAGGAAGAGAGUGCCAGGUCUGCAUCGGUGGGCACAUGCUGAGAUCGAGUGAGGACAUCAGAUGGCCACCACUGGCACGCUGGAGUCCUGAAAUGGGAGAACGAGGCCAGGAGGCACCAGGUGGCACCCACAGCAGUGAUUCUCCCCGGGGAUGGGGGGGGUGGGUUCCACCCGAGGGGGGCAGUGGGCACGGCCCCAGGGAGGCCUAUCAGCACAUGGAGGGGAGCAGUGUUCUGCUCACAGACAGAUAUAACAGCAGGAAACGGACCCAGAAGAAGGUUCUGAUAGGCCGCCUGUGGGUUGUGCGUCCUCGGGUGAGAAUCACUGGUGGAAGGGGGAGGAUGGAGGCUGGGGCAGAGACGGGAGGGAGCAGAAGGUGCCCGCCAGUGGAGGUAGAUGGAGGCAUCAGACUUGUGGGUGUCAGAGCAGGGCGAGUGUGACUGGGAGUCCAGGGAGGUAGCACAGAGGUACCUGGAAGGAUGGAAGGUCAGGUUGCUAGGAGGCACAUGUGUGAGGGGGCGGUGGGCAGUGUGGAGGCAGGUGUGAGGGCAGAGGGUAAAGGCAUGUGGCACAGGAAUAUGAUGGGAGGAUCAGAGGCAGAUGUUCUCUUACAGCAUGUUCAGAAGAGUCUGAAAGAAAGUAAAAGGAAAGGACUCCUAAAAGGCACUAGCAGCCAUGAAAUUUUGUUGGUGCCAGAAACCACAGAGCUAGACACACAGGGAUGCAACUAUGAGCUGCUGAGUAAGGUACAUGGAUUCUGUCUGAUUAAAAGAGGAUGGAAUUUUCUGGAUCAUCAAGAACAGUGAGCAGAUCUAGGUUGGAGUAUGCACUGAAGAAGGCUAUUGAAUUAACUGGACCAUGACAGAUGGCAGCUCAAAGUGGAGGGUAGGGAAGGCGAUAGUCCUUUACUAUGCAGUACAGGAAAACAGGAGAAAUAAAUUAACCUAGGGUCAGGAACUAGAAAAGGUCAGAGUUUUAACCCAUGGGGAGAAUAACAGGCAAGAUAGCAAUGGACAACAAGAAUGAAAAAGCAAGAAGGAGCCAACAGUUGAGACAGGAGAGGGUGUUGAGAGGAUCAAAGAAUAUACUUAGCCAGUGGAGACAAGGCCAUGUCCACUAGGAGGGCAUGAACCCGAAGUAUCCAGGAUCUCUUCCCCACAUGCGGGGGAAAUCUGAGAUGAAGUCCUUUGAAGCAAAGAAGUGUGACAUGGACAGACAGGCCAUGUCACACUUUGAAGAACAGAUGAGACAAGGCAUAAAAACAUGAGUUUGUAGCAGCUGUGGGACCUCAGAAACAUGGGGCCCACUGUAUCAAAGAAUAGCAUAGUAAGAUGAAGAAAGGCCAGGGGUAAUCAUUCCAAGAGGGGAAGUGACUCUCAGCAAAAUAGCACAAACAAGAAGCUAUUUUGUUUGAGUUCAAACAGCAGGUGGACUCAGCAGGAGCACAAAAAUGGAGACAAAAUAGAUGGCAGUGGUGCCAGGAGGCACAGCAUGUCAGGAAAGCAGCACACACCAAGGGAGAGACUUCUGAGUGCACAGACUGACUGGGCGGUGUCAAGAAGUACAACUGGAUGUUGAAGAGGAAGCAGAAGGUCUCUGGAAAAAGAAAACAGGGAAAAAAUGCAGGAAUGGCAGUGCAGGGCUUAAAUCUAUAUCAGAGUGGAAAGAGAGACAAAAUAGUUGGGCUGCCAUGAGAAGGCGUCUGUGGGAAUUAGAUCGAGGAAGGUUAUGGGAAGAGAAAGAAAUGAGAGAGACUCUCAUGAGUCAUGGUAGCUUCAGUGAUGGCUCACUUGGAGAAGGAAGGUGAAAUGAAGAGCUGUCUAACUGGGCAUCUUGGCAGAUCAUACAGGAGUGGCUGGAGAGAUGGAAGUAUCAAAGCCAUACCUUAGAAGCAAAGCAAAAAGACAAACAAACCCUAGACACAACAGGACUGUAUGGAAAAAGGAGGCAACAAACAGAACCAAGCAGUAUUGCAAAUUACUACAAGUCAGCACGGGCAGGGAACCUCAGGAACACGGACAGGGCUGGACACAAGUGCAGCAAGCCCUGGGUGUGGGCAGAAAGAUGCCUGCAAAUGGCAGACGAGCAGCUGAGAGGCAGUGGGCAUAGGCACUUUGUAGUGACCACUGCAGGUGUGCUUCUAUUCAGUGAUGCCUGAAAGAGAGGUGUCUGUCCCAUACCAGAGAUUACAGAGGAUGGAGUGAAGCCAGGAGUAGGGGACCUUCAAAACACAGAGAUUUCAAAGGUUUGGUGGAGAAGGCAAAGAAGGAAGUGACUUGCUCCUGCAGAACAGAGGAAGACAAUGAAGAGAGAUUAGGGGUUUUCUUGCUAGAUUUCAUCUUUUUUGUGGUCUGAUCCAGAUGACAGGACAGGAAGACAGAACAGGAUAGAAAAUGGUGCCUGUGUAAGAAUAGUCAUAAACUGGAAUCAUGUGUUUCAGCAGGGAGAGCACCUAUAAUAUAGAAGGACAUGGGAGAUUGAGUGAACACAAGGCAUGCUGAGAGGCAGUUUCACAGGCAGGGCUGUAUUUUCAUAUGGGGCCUGCCUGGGAGCAAACGCAAGUAAGAGAAGAGAGAAAGAAGACCAGGAAGGGCAGGAGUGGCUGUAGGGCUCCUGUCUGCUUCUCUGAUGGGAAGGCAGAGAAAAGAAGGCUGGGAAAGGCAUGAGAAGGUGAAAGAAAAGGUAUCCUGGGGAAUGUGAAUGUGAGGAUCUGUGAGGGAUUCAGCCAGUGGUCAAGAGUGGCUCAGAAGUGAGGUUGGGACAGGGCUGGAAAGAGUUGAGCAGAGCCAGCAGGCAGAGCGACAGAACAGAGCCUAUGGAGGGAAGAGGCACAGAAUUCUGAUCAAGUGGCGGGCACCAGGUAGUGCAGGGCAGCAGGGCCCCAGAGAAGGGGCGGAGAGGCUGCCCUAGGCCUGGGACUGAAGGAGAGGAAAGGGGUGGCAGGAGGACAGGCAGCAGGAAAGAUGUGGCAAUGAGAGCAAGGAACAG
ensembl:lincRNA